rnacentral:rRNA from 1 species
AUACAGAGGGUGCGAGCGUUAAUCGGAAUUACUGGGCGUAAAGCGCGCGUAGGUGGCUUGGUCAGUCGGAUGUGAAAGCCCCGGGCUCAACCUGGGAAUGGCAUUCGAUACUGCCAGGCUAGAGUAUGGGAGAGGGAAGUGGAAUUUCCGGUGUAGCGGUGAAAUGCGUAGAUAUCGGAAGGAACACCAGUGGCGAAGGCGACUUCCUGGCCCAAUACUGACGCUGAGGUGCGAAAGCGUGGGGAGCGAACAGGAUUAGAAACCCCAGUAGUCC